rnacentral:rRNA from 1 species
AUUGCCCUAGUAACGGCGAGUGAAGCGGCAACAGCUCAAAUUUGAAAUCUGGCUCCUUUGGGGUCCGAGUUGUAAUUUGCAGAGGGUGCUUUGGCAUCGGCGGCGGUCUAAGUUCCUUGGAACAGGACAUCGCAGAGGGUGAGAAUCCCGUACGUGGGCGCCUGCCUUUGCCGUGUAAAGCCCCUUCGACGAGUCGAGUUGUUUGGGAAUGCAGCUCUAAAUGGGAGGUAAAUUUCUUCUAAAGCUAAAUACCGGCCAGAGACCGAUAGCGCACAAGUAGAGUGAUCGAAAGAUGAAAAGUACUUUGGAAAGAGAGUCAAAUAGCACGUGAAAUUGUUGAAAGGGAAGCGCUUGCAGCCAGACUUGCCCGCAGUUGCUCACCCAGGCUCCGGCCUGGGGCACUCUUCUGCGGGCAGGCCAGCAUCAGUUUGGGCGGUUGGAUAAAGGCCUCUGUCACGUAUCUCCCUUCGGGGUGACCUUAUAGGGGAGGCGCAAUGCAACCAGCCCGGACUGAGGUCCGCGCAUCUGCUAGGAUGCUGGCGUAAUGGCUGUAAGCGGCCCGUCUUGAAACACGGACCAAGGAGUCUAACAUCUAUGCGAGUGUUUGGGUGUCAAGCCCGGGCGCGUAAUGAAAGUGAACGGAGGUGGGAACCCUUUGGGUGCACCAUCGACCGAUCCUGAUGUCUUCGGAUGGAUUUGAGUAAGAGCAUAGCUGUUGGGACCCGAAAGAUGGUGAACUAUGCUUGAAUAGGGUGAAGCCAGAGGAAACUCUGGUGGAGGCUCGCAGCGGUUCUGACGUGCAAAUCGAUCGUCAAAUUUGGGCAUAGGGGCGAAAGACUAAUCGAACCAUCUAGUAGCUGGUUC